rnacentral:rRNA from 1 species
CCUACGGGUGGCAGCAAUUAGGGAUCUUGCGCAAUGGGCGAAAGCCUGACGCAGCGACGCCGCGUGACCGAUGAAGUCCUUCGGGAUGUAAAGGUCUUUUGGCAGGGAAGAAGGAAGUGACGGUACCUGCAGAAUAAGCCCCGGCUAACUACGUGCCAGCAGCCGCGGUAAUACGUAGGGGGCGAGCGUUGUCCGAAGUUACUGGGCGUAAAGCGCGCGUAGGCGGUUGUUUAAGUUAGAUGUGAAAUCCCGCGGCCCAACUGCGGAACUGCAUCUGAAACUGGGCGACUUGAGGACGGAAGAGGGCAGUGGAAUUCCUGGUGUAGCGGUGAAAUGCGUAGAUAUCAGGAGGAACACCGGUGGCGAAGGCGGCUGCCUGGUCCGUAUCUGACGCUGAGGUGCGAAAGCUAGGGUAGCGAACGGGAUUAGAUACCCCAGUAGUC